UAUUUGCAGAUGCAAGUUUUGGAAGUGACGCUACAGACAGGAAAAGUACGUCUGGAGUUUGCUAUAUGUACAAUCAGAGUCUGUUUGAUUGGUCAUGCAAGAAGCAAACAACAGUUAGCUUAAGUACUUGUGAAGCUGAACUGAAUGCACUGUCUUAUUCACUUAAGGAUUGUGAAUGGUUGUUACAAUUGUGCAAAGAUAUGAAAAUUCCUGUCAAAUGUCCAAUCCAGGUUUACCAGGACAACAAAGCAUGUUUGGCUUUGCUGAAGUCUGAAGGUUGUAAGCAAAGCACAAAGCACUUACAAUUAAAGUUGCAGCAUGCUAGGGAAUGUAUUCAGAAGGGACUCGUAACGGUGUCCUAUAUGCCAGGUAAUGAAAUUCCUGCUGAUGUAUUGUCCAAGAUUGUAUCAAGGGAUCAACACUGUACCUAUGUGCAGAAGUUGGGUUUGUACUGAUACUGUACGAACACGCUGCCCAGUGAUGUUCACAGAAAGGGGAGGAUGUUGGUUUCUAUUUCCCUCACUGAGCAGCAACUGCAGUCACAAGACAUUGUUUUGCAUUCCACAGUCUGUACUGUUGGAGUUUCUCACGGGAAAGGGAGACUGGAUGUGACGUACACUGGUUUCCUGUUUUUUCACUGAGUGAUUCUCUCCAAGCUGUCGAGGAGAGAGGAUGCAUUUUCUGCUCCUGCAGAGGCAAGAUGUCUUUCUGUAAUAUACCAGCUUUGAACUGUAAAUAAAGCAAUAUAGAGUAUGCAGCACAUAUUCCUCAUCCUUCCGCUGGGCACGACAGACUCUGCUUUAAAUCAACA